UUGGCGCGAAAACUGCCAUAUAAAAGCACCGAACAGAAGGAGAGCGGCCAAAAAGCGCUCUGAUCACUAAGCUUAGCUAAGAACACGUAAGAAAUUACUUUACCGGACAACUUCAAAAUGUGUGACCAAGAAAGAAUGUUUAUGGAAGAGAACAGAUUCAAGAAUGAUACCAUUAGAUGUUUCAAAGGUAAGAAAAAUCACUUUGCUCUUUGGAAUGUAAUUCAUACACGUUCGAGUUGAAUAAUUGAAAUGUUUGCAUUACAUGUCAUUAGUUGCCGUUCAUUUACUUAUGAUUGUAUUUCUUUAUCUUUUCAGAAGGAAGAUGUUCUCGAGGAGACAUUGACACAAUGAAGUAUCUGGGCUAUGUGGUAAAUUGUAUUAGACGCGAAGAUCCGUCCGUGAUCAAACUUGCAGAAAACGUGUAUGAGGAAGUGAGACUACAACCACCUCAGAAAAGGCAAAGGAAACGUUAUGACCAAGGAGUGAAAAGACUAUUGAGAUCUAGCAACUUUAAACAGCUAAGAUCCGGAAAAAUUGUAUUUUGAACUGUUGAUACAAUAUGGAACACACAGUGAAUAAGACACUCAUGUUACUAAGUUAUUAUAACGUUAUAUUUUUAGGUUCUCUUUGGGCUGAGAUUUCUGGCUAAGGGCGACUUUUUGUCAGAGGUCGCAGAUUUACACGGGAUUUCUAAGGCCACAGCAGCCACUGUAGCGGACGAGUUUGUUAACAGUGUAAAUCUAAGGUUAAGGAACAUCAGGUUUCCAACAGACAGAACUGAGUUGAAUGAAAUAAAAAGGAAAUUCUACCAAAAGUGUAGAAUACCUAACAUCAUAGGAGCAGUAGAUGGUACGUUGAUACCGAUUCAAGCACCCACAGAAGAUAAGGCAGCAUAUGUUUGUCGAAAGAACUACCAUGCUCUAAAUGUUCAAGCCGUAUGUGAUCCAGAUGCAAGGCAUAAUUUUUUGACAAAUUUACAGAUGUUGUUGCCAUGUGGCCAGGGUCCCAGCAUGAUGCAACAAUUUUCAACUGUGGUUUGAAGAUAUUUGUGUGCCAGGAAUGUGGAAGAGAAUAUUCAUCAAGAAAAAUUAAGCCUUCUGCGACACAAAAAGGACAUAGAAAUAUCGGCCCAUACAAAUGCUGUGGACAGUCUUUUCUGAUAAGAUUAAAAAAACAUUAUUUUUUUACGAUCCUAUAUUGCCUAUAUUAAGCAUUGCAUAUUUUUUCUAUAUGUCCUUAAUUUUAGAAAUUGUAUUUUCCAUAAGGUGGAUUAGUUUCAAUCUUUCAAAGCUAAUGUGCCAUGAUUUGCAGGAGAUCGUAAAGGGUGGAUAUUUUGGUCCUGUGUUCAAUGACCCUUGAUCAUGCACAUACAGUAUGCUUUGGUUUCCAACUUGUCAAUCAAAAUAAAUUUAAAUAAUUCGGAAUAUUUACAAAUUAUAAAUUAUGAUUUACCGAAGUUAGCGCUUUUUCCCUUUAGUUCUAUUGUUAAUCAUUUUUCUUCCUUAAUUUUAAGUGAGCAAUGAGAUGAAUCUGUUUGCGAUUACCAAUAUUCAUCUCUUAUGUCGAUCGAAAAGAAAUUUGAUUCAUUUUUUGUGUCAUUUGCAUUGCAAUAACUGACUGAGAAACUUAGUAAGGUCAUCGUUUUUUUUCCAAACAUUCUUAAACAAUAGUAAAUGUGUGUACUUUACUCACAGCUUAUUUAGUAUCGUUCCUUUCUGUUACCUUUAGUAUAACCACAUUGAUAUUAUGUUCAUAAUGUUUUCAGGAUGUCGAUCACUUCCGACGACAUAGAGCAAGCAAACACCAAGGGCCGAAAAGCUACGCUUGUACUUAUUGUGGCAAAUCUUUUGCAACACAACAUGAGGUGAAAGCUUAUGAAAGACGAGAGGAAAAUCCAGCCAUGCAUAUGUGUGACACUUGUAACAUGUUCUUUCCGCGACAGUUUCAGUUGCAGAAACAUAUGGCAACACACUCAAGUGAAAAUAAGUACACGUGUAAUUGUGGGAAGACAUACAAGCAUAAAUACAGCCAGCCUCUCCCGACACGGAAAAUCUCAUGUGUACAAAGAACUGAUAAAUAAAGUCUUCUAUUCGGAUUACUCUAUAAAGAUGAAAGAAAAACACAAUGCUUUUUAUCUGAAUCACUUAUCUUUAUUUUCUAAAUCGUCAUAAGAAAGACUAUAAAAGUUAUCAAUAUGUUAUAAAUACAUGCUAUUAUUUCAAAUCAUUAUUUGAGGUUAGGCAAGCAAAAAAUAAAA